GGCUUCUUUGUUGGGAAGGAAUGUGUGUGGCCAAAGACAGAGAGGCAGGGACAGCCAAGGCGAUCAUGCCGGCCGGAGAGAAUAGGCUGGACCAGGGGUUAGCCACAGAGGCAGUAAGAAGUGGUCAGAUUUAUACAAUAUUUUGAAGUCUAGGCAGCAGAAUGUGCUGACAGCGUGGAUGCGGGAUGUGAGAGGGAGAGAGCCCAGGGGUGCGUCCAUACUUUUUGGCCUCGGCGAUUGGGAGAAUGGGAUGGCUGUUGAUGGAGGUGGUGAAGAUUUGCGGGAACGGGGUUGGGGCAGAAUUCUGUUUGGACGCAUUCGCUCCGACUGUUAGACAGAAAGGGGGCACUUGAUGCAGAGUCUGGCAUCCCGCGGCAAAGGGCUGGCUAGUGGCGUAUGAGAGUAGCUGCUACCCAUCCUUGUGACCUGAGGCUCUGCCCACCAUUCCUCCAGGGACUUCCGGGAGCCACGCUCCCCCUUGGGAAAGUUAAUUCUCGUCUUUACGUCUCGGCUCCUCAUCUGGGAAGUAAGACUGACCAAAACGCAUUCCUGAUUCAUGAAGGUCUUAAUCAGGACGUUCGAUCUGCCUCAUGGAUCGUUCUGUUGGAGGUGGAAAUUCUCGACCUCAGUGACUUCAUCUGUGGAAAAUGGGAACAAUAAUCCUGACUCAUGAGAAGUCAUGAAUUGCAAAGAACCGAUGCACGUGGAAGGAACACACUUAGCGGAGCGCUUGGCAGCAGGUGGAACGGGCAUGCGGCGUCCCUAACGAUACAGCAGAGAGAGAGGGAGAGAGAGAGAGACUGAGAACAAGCA